rnacentral:sRNA from 1 species
CAUCAUCACCAUCAUCCCUAAGUUGUCUUUCGGGAGAUGUACGCAUACCCGGGAGGCAGGACUCUCCCGGUGGUUACAUGAAAAGUAUUUUAAGAUUUCAGACCCUCGGGAGACCAAUCUCUCGAGGGUUUUUU